rnacentral:rRNA from 1 species
GAUGAACGCUGGCGGUAUGCCUAACACAUGCAAGUCGUACGAGGGUUUUUAACUCUAGUGGCGGACGGGUGAGUAACACGUGAGAAUUUGCCUUUAGGAGGGGGAUAACAAUCGGAAACGAAUGCUAAUACCCCAUAUGCUUUCGAGUGAAAUGGAUUUAUCCGCCUAAAGAGAAGCUCGCGGCUGAUUAGCUUGUUGGUAAGGUAAGAGCUUACCAAGGCGACGAUCAGUAUCUGGUUUGAGAGGACGAUCAGACACACUGGAACUGAGACACGGUCCAGACUCCUACGGGAGGCAGCAGUGGGGAAUUUUCCGCAAUGGGCGAAAGCCUGACGGAGCAAUACCGCGUGAGGGGAGACUGCCUAUGGGUUGUAAACCUCUUUUUUCAGGGUAGGGAAUAAAAUGACGUGUACCUGAAGAAUAAGCAUCGGCUAACUCCGUGCCAGCAGCCG